UACAGAGGGUGCGAGCGUUGUCCGGAAUCACUGGGCGUAAAGGGCGCGUAGGCGGCCUGGUAAGUACGGGGUGAAAUCUCACGGCUCAACCGUGAGGCUGCCUCGUAGACUGCCGGGCUUGAGCAGAGCAGAGGCUAGCGGAAUUCCCGGUGUAGCGGUGGAAUGCGUAGAGAUCGGGAAGAACAUCGGUGGCGAAGGCGGCUAGCUGGGCUCUUGCUGACGCUGAUGCGCGACAGCGUGGGGAGCAAACAGGAUUAGAUACCCUGGUAGUCCACGCCGUAAACGAUGGGUACUAGGCGUCGGGGGGAGCGACCCCUUCGGUGCCGUCGCUAACGCAAUAAGUACCCCGCCUGGGGAGUACGGCCGCAAGGCUGAA
rnacentral:rRNA from 1 species